AGAGUUUGAUUCUGGCUCAGGAUGAACGCUAGCUACAGGCUUAACACAUGCAAGUCGAGGGGCAUCAGGGAGAAAGCUUGCUUCUUGCUGGCGACCGGCGCACGGGUGAGUAACGCGUAUCCAACCUUCCCCCCAGUAGGGCAUAGCCCGGCGAAAGUCGGAUUAAUACCCUAUGUUGUGUCAUGAGGACAUCUGAAUAACACCAAAGAUUUAUCGCUGGGGGGAUGGGGAUGCGUCCGAUUAGGUUGUUGGCGGGGUAACGGCCCACCAAGCCCGCGAUCGGUAGGGGUUCUGAGAGGAAGGUCCCCCACACUGGUACUGAGACACGGACCAGACUCCUACGGGAGGCAGCAGUGAGGAAUAUUGGUCAAUGGGCGCGAGCCUGAACCAGCCAAGUAGCGUGCAGGACGACGGCCCUAUGGGUUGUAGACUGCUUUUAUGCGGGGAUAAAGUGGCGUACGUGUACGUUUUUGUAGGUACCGCAUGAAUAAGGACCGGCUAAUUCCGUGCCAGCAGCUGC
rnacentral:rRNA from 1 species